GGCAGUUUGGCCGAGUUGGUCUAAGGCGUGGCGUUAAGGAAUUAUCCUUGAGUAUCUUUAAUCCGCCAUCUAUUUCGUAGGCGUGAGUUCGAAUCUCACAGCUGUCA
rnacentral:tRNA from 1 species